UCUCGGGCAUUUCAAUUUCCGAACGCCAAGUCUUCAUGGCUCAAGUCACUACACCUCCAAACAGUGUGAAACAAACAAAAUACAAAUCGUAUAUUUACAAAGAAACAUCUGCAAAUAAAUAUUUUGAGGAACCAACAGCCUCAAACCAAGGGCAUAACACCUAAAUAACAUUUACAAAUUUGCUGGAGAACAAAAAUCCCAUAAUGGGUCCACCAAGUUCAACCAGCAACCAGAAUCGUCACUAACUGCCGACAGAUAGGCAACACGAAACAAUGAAAUGAACCCACAAGCCAAAACCAGCCUCCAAGAACACUACCAGACUUUCACCAACACAUCAACAAGCCGAGAACGAAGUGCACAACCACCAUUCAGAAGGAGCUUACCAAAGCGGUACCUAACUGCCAACGGAUAGUCGCCUGAGAAUCAGCAAUCUGAGAUAUUGCUUGCACCUUCAAGCUUUAUACCAGAUGAAUCAAGACCGUCACAUGAAAAUCUAUGUCUGAAUUAGCACCAUUGGAUAAAUGGUAAGUAAAUUUAACAAGGAAAGACAUUGCAGUACCUAACAGUCAAUAUAUCUAGGGCCGCUUGUAAUGCAGGUAAUAAGGAAUGUUAACUUCUUCUUGUUAAUGCAAAACUGGAAGAGUUGGGCGUGGUCUUACAACAUUCAGCACGCCUCUAGUAGUUGC
rnacentral:lncRNA from 1 species